GGUUCUCCAACGGAGGAGCUUUUUAACCUCUUUCCGGUGAGGUGGGAACUCAUCUUCAUGAUCGAAUUUAAAAGAACAAUGGAACCCUGACUACGUUUCAACAAAAAUAAAACUUGUUUUUUUCCCUCCUAUUGGGUGUUGGCUUUUAACUCUUUCAAAGCCGUUUUUGAAACGGCUGCAGUGAUACAUGCGAAGGUGACUUAGAGAUUAAAAUUAAUUUGGUUGCUGAUGGUUCUGAACAAAUAGAGUUCUUUUAUUUGAGGUAUGCCAUUUUGAAGACUGAGACAUUGGAGUUUUAUCCUUGAGGAUAAAAGAAAUCUUUGGGAAAGUCAGUAUUUUAUAUAGCAAAAAUAAUGAACCUCAAACUGAAUCCUCUAAAGGCCCCAUACAAUGAAGUAGACAUUGGUGGAAGCAUUUACACCCAGUCAGCUUGAAGAGUUUCAAAUGGACCCUACCACUGAGAAAUCAAGAUGGCAGUCUACUAUGGGGAAUUGAGAAAAAUGGAUUAAUACAAGAGUCCUGUGAUAAUACACAACCAAGACAGGGUUCUUUUAACAUGGAUUCCAUGCAGUGAAUGAAGACAUAGGUUUCUUAUCCAACACAAAUGGACAGUGGAUUUGACUUUCUAAAGACUUUUUUUUGUGGACAUUUUGACAUUUGGAGAAGGAGGAUGGCACACUAACACAGAUAAUAGUUUUUAUACCUGGAAUUUUUUGUAGUUUGAUUUGUAUGAGUAUGACCUCUUGGAAUGUUAACUUUAAUAAAAUUUAUAACACUUUAAAA